rnacentral:rRNA from 1 species
ACGUAGGGUGCGAGCGUUAAUCGGAAUUACUGGGCGUAAAGGGUGCGCAGGCGGCUCCGCAUGUCGGGCGUGAAAUCCCCGGGCUUAACCUGGGAAUUGCGUCCGAAACUAUGGAGCUGGAGUGUGGCAGAGGGAGGUGGAAUUCCACGUGUAGCGGUGAAAUGCGUAGAGAUGUGGAGGAACACCGAUGGCGAAGGCAGCCUCCUGGGCCAACACUGACGCUCAUGCACGAAAGCGUGGGGAGCAAACAGGA